AGUGAGCGCUGGCGGUAGGCCUAACACAUGCAAGUCGAACGGCAGCACAGUAAGAGCUUGCUCUUACGGGUGGCGAGUGGCGGACGGGUGAGGAAUACAUCGGAAUCUACUUUUUCGUGGGGGAUAACGUAGGGAAACUUACGCUAAUACCGCAUACGACCUACGGGUGAAAGCAGGGGAUCUUCAGACCUUGCGCGAUUGAAUGAGCCGAUGUCGGAUUAGCUAGUUGGCGGGGUAAAGGCCCACCAAGGCGACGAUCCGUAGCUGGUCUGAGAGGAUGAUCAGCCACACUGGAACUGAGACACGGUCCAGACUCCUACGGGAGGCAGCAGUGGGGAAUAUUGGACAAUGGGCGCAAGCCUGAUCCAGCCAUACCGCGUGGGUGAAGAAGGCCUUCGGGUUGUAAAGCCCUUUUGUUGGGAAAGAAAAGCAGCAGGUUAAUACCCCGCUGUUCUGACGGUACCCAAAGAAUAAGCACCGGCUAACUUCGUG
rnacentral:rRNA from 1 species